rnacentral:rRNA from 1 species
GACGUAGGGUGCGAGCGUUGUCCGGAUUUAUUGGGCGUAAAGAGCUCGUAGGCGGCUCGUCGCGUCGACCGUGAAAACCCGCGGCUUAACUGCGGGCUUGCGGUUGAUACGGGCGGGCUAGAGUUCGGUAGGGGAGACUGGAAUUCCUGGUGUAGCGGUGAAAUGCGCAGAUAUCAGGAGGAACACCGGUGGCGAAGGCGGGUCUCUGGGCCGAUACUGACGCUGAGGAGCGAAAGCGUGGGGAGCGAACAGGAUUAGAAACCCCCGUAGUCC